CCUACGGGCGGCAGCAGUGAGGAAUAUUGGUCAAUGGACGAGAGCCUGAACCAGCCAAGUAGCGUGAAGGAUGACUGCCCUACGGGUCGUAAACCUCUUUUAUAAGGGAAUAAAACGCGCCACGUGUGCAUGUCUGCAGGUACCUUACGAAUAAGGACCGGCUAAUUCCGUGCCAGCAGCCGCGGUAAUACGGAGGAGCCGAGCGUUAUCCGGAUUUAUUGGGUUUAAAGGGAGCGUAGACGGGCUGUUAAGUCAGCUGUGAAAGUUGGCGGCUCAACCGUCAAAUUGCAGUUGAUACUGGCAGUCUUGAGUACAGAUCAGGUAGGCGGAAUUCGUGGUGUAGCGGUGAAAUGCAUAGAUAUCACGAGGAACCCCGAUUGCGAAGGCAGCCUGCCGGGCUGUGACUGACGUUGAGGCUCGAAGGUGUGGGUAUCAAACAGGAUUAGAUACCCUUGUAGUC
rnacentral:rRNA from 1 species